CCUACGGGAGGCAGCAGUGGGGAAUAUUGGGCAAUGGGCGAAAGCCUGACCCAGCAACGCCGCGUGAAGGAAGAAGGCUUUCGGGUUGUAAACUUCUUUUCUGGGGGACGAACAUAUGACUGUACCCCAGGAAUGAGCCACGGCUAACUACGUCCCAGCAGCCGGGGUAAUACGUAGGUGGCAAGCGUUCUCCGGAUUUAUUGGGUGUAAAGGGCGUGUAGGCGGGCAUGCAAGUCAGAUGUGAAAACGCAGGGCUCAACCCUCGGACUGCAUUUGAAACUGUGUUUCUUGAGUGCUGGAGAGGCAAGCGGAAUUCCGGGUGUAGCGGUGAAAUGCGUAGAUAUAGGGAGGAACACCAGUGGCGAAGGCGGAUUGCUGGACAGUAACUGACGCUGAGGCGCGAAAGCGUGGGGAGCAAACAGGAUUAGAUACCCGGGUAGUC
rnacentral:rRNA from 1 species